UUCCCAACGCUCAUGUCUUGGGUUCAACACAUGCUAUCACCAUUUUUCUUUUUUAUGCUCCUUUUUCAAUUUUUUUCUUCCAUCUUUUAUUUUGCCUUCUUUUAUAUUUUUAACCAAAUUAAUUUCCAUUUCUUUUUUUAAUUUUUAUAACAUAUUUCUUGUUUUUGACAUUACAUUUGUAAUUUUUUUCCAUUAUUUUAUUCCGAUUACGCUCAUUGUAAAUAUGCAAUUUUAAUUGAUUAAUAAAGUGUGAUGCUG
rnacentral:lncRNA from 1 species